rnacentral:rRNA from 1 species
CACGAACCGUACGAGCGUUAUUCGGAAUUACUGGGCUUAAAGGGUUUGUAGGCGGCCAUGUAAGUCGGGUGUGAAAUCCCUCGGCUCAACCGAGGAAUGGCGCCCGAUACUGCAUGGCUUGAGGGAGACAGGGGUAAGCGGAACUGAUGGUGGAGCGGUGAAAUGCGUUGAUAUCAUCAGGAACACCGGUGGCGAAAGCGGCUUACUGGGUCUCAUCUGACGCUGAGGAACGAAAGCUAGGGGAGCGAACGGG